rnacentral:rRNA from 1 species
UACGGGGGAUGCGAGCGUUAUCCGGAUUUAUUGGGUUUAAAGGGUGCGUAGGCGGCGCUUCAGGUCAGCGGUGAAAUACCGGGGCUCAACCCCGGGGCUGCCGUUGAAACCGGAGCGCUAGAAUUCCGAUGCCGUCGGAGGAAUGUGUGGUGUAGCGGUGAAAUGCAUAGAUAUCACACAGAACACCGAUUGCGAAGGCAGCUUGCUAGGCCGGAUCUGACACUGAUGCACGAAAGCGUGGGGAUCGAACAGG